GCAAGUCGAACGGCAGCACGGGUGCUUGCACCUGGUGGCGAGUGGCGAACGGGUGAGUAAUAUAUCGGAACGUACCUUAUCGUGGGGGAUAACGCAGCGAAAGCUGCGCUAAUACCGCAUACGCCCUGAGGGGGAAAGCGGGGGACCGUAAGGCCUCGCGCGAUUAGGGCGGCCGAUAUCUGAUUAGCUUGUUGGUGGGGUAAAAGCCCACCAAGGCGACGAUCAGUAGCUGGUCUGAGAGGACGAUCAGCCACACUGGGACUGAGACACGGCCCAGACUCCUACGGGAGGCAGCAGUGGGGAAUUUUGGACAAUGGGGGCAACCCUGAUCCAGCAAUGCCGCGUGAGUGAAGAAGGCCUUCGGGUUGUAAAGCUCUUUUGUCAGGGAAGAAACAGCAGCUCUAACACAGUCUGCGAAUGACGGUACCUGAAGAAUAAGCACCGGCUAACUACGUGCCAGCAGCCGCGGUAGUACGUAGGGUGCAAGCGUUAAUCGGAAUUACUGGGCGUAAAGCGUGCGCAGGCGGUUAUACAAGACAGGCGUGAAAUCCCCGGGCUUAACCUGGGAAUGGCGUCUGUGACUGUAUGACUAGAGUGUGUCAGAGGGGGGUAGAAUUCCACGUGUAGCAGUGAAAUGCGUAGAUAUGUGGAGGAAUACCAAUGGCGAAGGCAGCCCCCUGGGAUAACACUGACGCUCAUGCACGAAAGCGUGGGGAGCAAACAGGAUUAGAUACCCUGGUAGUCCACGCCCUAAACGAUGCCGACUAGUUGUUGGGAAUUUACAUUCUCAGUAACGUAGCUAACGCGUGAAGUCGGCCGCCUGGGGAGUACGGUCGCAAGAUUAAAACUCAAAGGAAUUGACGGGGACCCGCACAAGCGGUGGAUGAUGUGGAUUAAAUUCGAUGCACGCGAAAAACCUUACCUACCCUUGACAUGUCACUAACGAAGU
rnacentral:rRNA from 1 species